GGUGGAGCACAUCUGUCCCCUGGGUCUCUUGAUCUUUGGAAGUCAGGGGCUGUUCUCAGUUAGAAAUGCAAUUUCAAAAUUCCUUCAUCUUUUGAUAUUCGGGUUUCAGGUUUUUGGGGUUUGCUCUAAACUUUUUUUUCUGUAAUACCAAGCUUUAUGUGUUUUCCACAGAGUGUCAGAAAAAUCAUAAGCACAAACUGCAGCUGGUGCUUCUGUGGCCAGUGAGGAUCAGUGGGAGCAAAUGAGGUGCUCCCCACACUGCUUGGCUUUUGGAGGCACUGGCUGUGCCUGUCCUUCUCUGCCCUUUGGGGACAAAACUGGUGUAAUGAUUGCACUCGGAUUCCUUCAGGCUCCAAACCAGACAAGAGAUAGGAACCAGGAAUCCUUUUCAGAGUCGUGUUUUAACAAAGGAUAUUCCUCUUGUUUUUCCAGACACGCAACUUACAAUAUUUGGAGUUG